rnacentral:piRNA from 1 species
UUUCUAGAAUUGUUUUGGAGA